GUAAGCUGGCUAAUCUUGCUACUCAGAAGGAUGGAGUGUUGGGCCCAGAGUCAGUCUGCUACAGCAGCACCACAUCAUCCAUCAUUGUGGGACAGUGGGGGGACAACAUCCGGGUGUUCCGAGUGGAAUAGUGUGAACAUUCGCUGCUGAGUCAACGAUGCUGAGGAUGUGGUGGACAAGGAUGACCUGAAUACGCAGAAGCAACUGCUAAGCACAGAAGACAAAGGAGUAGUGAAAGGCUCAGCCAAAUCAAAGUCCAGCGAUGUGAGGGUGACACAGCCUUUCAAGUCCUCGUAUUGCAACAUGAAGGACAUCUAAGCUGAAACUAACAAGGGAGAGAACUGUAGAUCUGCACCAGCACAGAGCACCAGCAUUGAUAUCGAGUUGGCCCAGCAACCACACCAGUCCCGCCUGCAGAAGCCCCAGUCCAGAUUGACCCUCCCCCUCCAUUGACUUCUAACUCCUCCCCCUUGACCUCCUGCCUCAAAAAGUCAGCAUCGUUGAACAACUCUGUUCUGCAGGAAAUUCUUAGGGUGAUUCUGUUCUGACAAACGCAAUGCCCACGUCACGUUUUCCAAACAUAAGCCUGGGUAGUUUUGUUAAGCUAGAGUUCCGCCUGGGCCUGAAAGGGACGAGUGUUACAGACACGAAAAGUUAUAGCAGUAGUUAUGGUAACGCUAACAGUCAGUUGUUGCUGUUGGACAUCACAACAAAUAUCAUGAAGAAUAAAAAGUUCAAUCACUUGUUCCAAUCUUUAUGGGACAAACAGAAAUUGAACAGGAGAGAAUCAAGGAACAAUAAAAGCGUGAGCUUUCCUAGUGGCAUACGUCUGCUGUUGAUAGUUUGGACAACAGUAGGGUUACGGACUGCCCCAGAUUGUCCUCUCAGCGGCCAAAAUAUCAUAAUAGAACAGACUUUUGGCAAUGUUACUGACAAAAAAAGGCAAAAAUGACUUGGUUGUGAACACCAAGAGCGCGAUACAUCCAUGCUGACACAGAAAGUCGGUAAUAACUUGGUUUUGAAAACCCAGAGCACAAUACAUCCAUGCUGACACAGAAAGGAAGUAAUGACUUGGUUGUGAACACCCAGAGCACGAUACAUCAUGCUGACACAGAAAAUAAGUAAUGACUUGGUUGUGAACACAGAGCACAAUACAUCCUUGUUGACACAGAAAGGCAGUAGUGACUUUGCUGUGAACUCAGAGCACGAUACAUCCAUGCUGACACAGAAAGGCAGUAAAGACUUGGUUGUAAACACCCAGAGCACAAUACAUCCAUGCUGACACAGACAGGCAGUAAAGACUUUGUUGUAAACACUAAGAGAUCCAUACAUCCAUGGGGUGUGCCACAGCCGCAAAUUACGCCCACUAUUGUGAACAAGGUUCUUAAAGUGAACAAGUCUGGUUUUGUUAUGAGCACAUAGCACUCCAAGCCCAAAAGGCCUCGCAUUAAAUUGAUGCAAGAGAAGGCUUUGGAAAAUAACAGCAGUUUUGUUGUGUGGUCCAGUACGCCCUUCGACUCGCAACCUGAAGAAAGCAGAACUCAAACUCGUCUCUUAGCAAUAUCAGCAAGGCUAGCAUGUCAUCUCAGCUUCUUGAACUUCAGUGAACUUUACUAGCAAACAUGACUAACGUCAUUGAAGUGAAAGUCGAUGACAACCCCCUUUUUGCACAAAUACUACAAUUGCUUAAGAAAUUCAGCACGGAGACGUCUUGCGUCAGACUACCAAGCCUCCUAUCAAUAUCUUCUCCCAUGUUGGCUACAUCAACACUUCCAACAGCAGAGCCUUGGUGAGUUCGACUUCCGUCUCGGCAUCGAUGUCGCUUAGCAACAAUUGGAUGAUUGCGUCGACAAAUUAGGCCGGACAAGUUGCUCGAACUGAAACGAUCUGAUUCAACAGGUAGAGCAGGCGUUGCCUGACACGUCCGUUAAUGUGACUGACCACGAUAUGUUGUUCUCGAAAAAUGUGAACCUUAGGCCUGGAGAGCAGUAUGCGAUUGACGCCAUUCAACAACAGUUGUUGUCGGCAAUUCUUGGGUUUGGGGUGGCGACUUUGGCGUCGGGACUCACUCCAUCUCUGUCUAUGGCCCAGUCGCAGCAGCAGCAGCAACAAGAACAAUAAGUAGUAUCUUAGCGGUGUUCUGCGAUUUGGGGAUUCAUGUAUGUGCUUAAAUUGUCAUCCCAGAUUAGCCUGUGCAGACUGCACAUACAUUAAGCCCUAUUAAAGUGACAUCCCAGAUUAGCCUGUGCAGACUGCACAUACAUUAAGCCCUAUUAAAGUGUCAUCCCAUAUUAGUCUGUGCAGACUGCACAUACAUUAAGUCCUAUUAAAGUGUCAUCCCAGAUUAGCCUGUGCAGAUUGCACAUACAUCAAGUCCUAUUAAAGUGUCAUCCCAUAUUAGCCUGUACAGACUGCACAUACAUUAAGUCCUAUUAAAGUGUCAUCCCAGAUUAGCCUGUGCAGACUGCACAUACAUUAAGUCCUAUUAAAGUGUCAUCCCAGAUUAGCCUGUGCAGACUGCUCAUACAUUAAGUCCUAUUAAAGUGUCAUCCCAUAUUAGCCUGUACAGACUGCACAUACAUUAAGUCCUAUUAAAGUGUCAUCCCAUAUUAGCCUGUGCAGACUGCACAUACAUUAAGUCCUAUUAAAGUAUCAUCCCAUAUUAGCCUGUGCAGACUGCACAUACAUAAAAACCUAUUAAAGUGUCAUCCCAGAUUAGCCUGUGCAGACUGCACAUACAUUAAGCCGUAUUAAAGUGUCAUCCCAUAUUAGCCUGUGCAGACUGCUCAUACAUAAAAACCUAUUAAAGUGUCAUAUCAGAUUAGCCUGUGCAGUCUGCACAUACAUUAAGUCCUAUAAAAGUGUCAUCCCAGAUAAGCCUGUGCAGACUGCACAUUCAUUUAGCCCUAUUUUCCCAGAAUGAGGCUUAUAUACUACACUUAACAUCAGUAUUUUAUGUGCCUGAAAAGUUCCUAGCAUCAAAUGGGAAUAAUGUGCUUUUACAUUGAUCACACUUAGUAAAUACAAUGCAAAUAGCACUUGAUCUGAUAUCAAUUUUAAUCAUAGAAGGUCAGGGCAUUAAGUUUUGUAUAUUUUCGACCGACAUUCAGCCCCUGAACCAAAAGUUAAUCCUUGCAUACAAAUCUGCUUUAAUAUAAUUUUUAAAUUAUAUUUAAUUUUAGUAAAAUAAUUACGUAAAAGCCUUCAGCUCAUUUUAAAAUUAUUUUCUUCAUGUAUUUUCAAUAUUUAUUUAAAUUCUUGGAUUUUGUUUUAAUAGCCUGUUCCUACAGGAACCCAUGCAAUCAUAGAUCGGUACCUAGCUGAACAACAGGCUGUCUGGUCAGCUGGGCCCAGACGCCCAGUGACACUUCCUGGCCCAGGACCUUGGGGCAAAUGCUCAACUAGUCCUACCUGCAGGGUGGAGCCACUCUGAACCUGGGGCUCUAUACUUUCUUGGCCAGCGGCCAAGAUUACCUUGUCAAUAAGGGACACAUUCCUGGGAUGCCCUAAGGUCUUUCUAUCUGUUCACAGAGGUCUUAUACUCAUAAGUUCAAGCCCAGUGAGCGAUGUUCACAUUAUCAAACUCUGCAUCUCAAUAGAAACCCGGAUAGCAAGGCGUUGAGUUUGUUCUUGAAGCAUUUGCACCAGAAGCAGUCAUCAUCUUGAUAUUCUGGAAUCUCCAUGGUGAAGGACGACCUCAGUCUGUGAACAAAAUGCAGAGCUAACCUCAGAUGCCUUUUGACGAAAUCAAACUAUCCGAUCAGAAACACAGACUGUUGCAGCAGUUGUUACCAUAUUGACCGCAGUCAAACCUAAGAAGCUCAGAGAUAAAUACUGAUUUAGUUCUGCUAGUCUCUGCAUACCGCCUGGUUUGGUCAGCACUUACUCUGACUCUUUGAAUAUUAUGACGGAUGGAAAUGAAUGACCUUGUUCAGAUCGAAAUGGCAGAAUGACACAUCACAACAAUUCAAGUGGAAAGCCAGAAAGUCAUGUCAACAGCCACAUUUUUUAUGUCACAAGCCAAGUUGUAUUCAAAGACAAACAAUAGUUUAUGCUCUAUUGUGUAUGUGACCAGCCAAGUUGUAUUCAACGAAAAACAAUAGUUUACGUUUUAUUUUUUAUGUGACCUACCAAGUUGUUUGUAUAGGUCCCUGGUUUAGCAAAGCAUUUAAAGUAUUUUUAAAAGCACACAUAUUGCAUGUCAAUUCAAUGUCUUUGCCUGUAUUAUGAAACUUUCACUACAGAUGUUGAUCCUCAUGAUGGUAAAUAAAUGGGAAAUACAAUGUUAUCAAAGAUUUGUUAAGAUUGCCAAAGCUGUUUAAAUGAUGCUGGUAACUUGAACAAGAUUGAAAAAAACAUUGGAGUGUUUUCAUGUUAUAAGACAUGUUUCAGUUGUCUGUUUUUAACCCGUUAAUAUAGAUUAGCUAAUGAAAAGUAUUUGUUCAGAAAGGUGUAAAAUGUUUACGCUUCAGAUUUUUGUCAAUCAACCUUAUGAAAACAAUACUAGUCAAUUGGCUCAUUCGGGUCGGUAUUCUAUCAUGAAUCUUUUUUAGUAGCAUACUAUGUAUUUCAUGGGAAUAUAAAUAAAUUCGGGGCAAAAUUAUUUAAUCUACCUGAAAUAAUUGAUUCUGUAUUUACUACUAGUACUUUGUUGAUUUCAGUGGAUAUUGUUUGUUAAAUGAGUAGAGUAUGACUCUUGUUGAAAAGCUUUAAAUGAAACUGUGAAUUAAAAAAUAAAUAUUAAAUUUGUUUUACAGUUUUAUGAAAAAUGGCAAAAUAUUGUUAAGUUGUGUUGUUUUAUCAUAUACUAACAUGGUCAUAAGUGUUAAAAUUUGUUUUCGGACAUAAUAGUUUAUUAUGCUUUAUAUUUGUAUAUGUACAUAACGACGACAAGAUUGUAUCCUCUUUAAUCAGUGAGCAACUUAAUCAAGAUAUCUUGAUCACUGUAUCAAGUGUAUAUUUUGCCAUUUAUACAUAGAGCAACUGUAAAACAAUUGUAUUUUAAAUGUAAUGUAUCCAUGUAUUGUUGCCAUUUUUAUUAGAUAAACGCACUGUUAACAUUAAUUUGUACAAACUAUUGUUAUAAAAAACAUUUCUUGUUUCAAUGCUAAAAUAUGUAUUAAACUGUUAAAAUAAUGCACAGUAACAACUUCUGAAGAGAAAAAUAUACUUAAGGCAAUAGAAACACAUUGUUAUAUGAAAUGCUUUUUAUUAAGAACACCUACUUAAAAUUUGUUUAAUUUUGUUUAACAUUAUCUGAAGAAAAAAUAGUACCUUGUAAUUUGAAAUCAGUCAAUGAAAAAAAAGGGAGUGUUGCCAUAUGCUAACAAUAGUCAAGAAGUGCAAAUGCCUUUAUGGUUAAUACAACAGAGCAAUACAAUUUGCUUAAACUAGAGCACCACAUAAAGGGUGCCAUGCUCGGCUACGGGUGCAGUUUUGAAUAAAUGAAAGCUUGACAUAAUUUAUUUGAGAGGUCACAGUGACUUGACCAUUGACCUAGUGACACCAAAAUGGGUGUGGUGUGUAGAACUCAUCAAUGUGCAUCUACAUAUGAAGUUUGAAAGUUGUAGUUGGAAGCACUUUGAUUUUAGAGCCAAUGUUAAGGUUUAAGCACGACACGGACGGCGGACGACACAACGAACUGGCUAUGACAUUACCUCGGGUUUUCUCCGAAAAUACCCAGCUACAAAUAAAAACAAAGAUGUCUGUUUUGCAAAUUUUUUUAACACUUAUGAAUGUGCUUAUAUUAAACGUGAACAGUAUUGACAUAUUGCUUAUGAUAAAGUUUGACAUUUUAUUAGUUUUGUAACAGCGUGUUUGACCUUUCAAAUUGACCCUCCCACAAUCCCUUAUUCGCUUUCAGUGGGGCCAGUUUCUGUACAUCUUCCACUACAAGUUCAGCAAAUGUUUUAUGACCAGAUUUCCUCAUAUUUGGGAAUGUUUAUAUUUAACUUUUAUUGAAUGCAUGAAACAUGUUUGUUCUGUUUUUGAAAAGCUGAAAAUAGCUUGAUGUUUGUAAAUUGUGAGACAUGUUAGAUCAAAUUGAUAUAUAGAAAAAAACACAUUUUGCAUUAACUUGUAUUGGUAGCUAAACAACACAUGUUUCCAAAUACAAAUUUAAGUAUUUGGUAUAAAUAUAAUUGUGCUAUAUUUGUCAUAUCGGAUGAAAUGCAAUUUUAAUUAUAAUGUGUUUAUAUGUUCGUAUACUCCAAAUAAUCAUUUUAAAUAAGUAAAUAUAGGGUAAUCAUGUCUAUGGAAAGUAUCCGUAGGCAUGUUUUAAUUGCUUGUGUACCUCAUAUGGAUCAGGGUCUUUCUAAAUUAUUGCAUGAUUGUUAAUGCCUAUGUCUGAUUGUGUAAAUAUCUUCAAAGAUACUUGUUAAGAGGAUUUUAAUAUUAAAAGAUAAAUUAGCAUCUUAACUAUAACCGGGCAUCUUUUGCAUUUAUUUUAACGUGUUUAUAUUGUUUGGCUUACCGAGUUUAAUAUUGUCUAUAUAUUCGUGCGUAAUUUUAUUGUGGUUGUUUUGUUAAGACAAAGCGCAUAUCACUAAUGCUGUUGUUUUUGUUUUAUGAUAUAUGUAAAUAAUUAAACAUGUUUAUUUUGGUGAUAUGUAUUUCCCAAUCUAAGUGUAAUGUUGCAUUCUCAAUAAAGUACAUUGUUAUACACGUGGAAUAGUAUUGCUAAGUGACAAUUUGUUGUCUUUACAAAUAAAAACCGCAAGGAUUGUCGUAUCAAUUUUAUAGCUUUCCCCUAUUGAACUGGUGUAAAAACGUGACCGUGAGCUCAUUUUGUUUAAUGUUAACUGCCAAUAUAUAUAUAUAUAUAUAUAUAUAUAUAUAUAUAUAUAUAUAUAUAUAUAUAUAUAUAUAUAUAUAUAUAUAUAUAUAUAUAUAUAUAGAAAGAAAUUGUUCAAACAGUGUAAAAAAUGUGUAUCUUAUACCCUAGCGCUUUUGACUACACGUCUUCUUCAGGGGUGUAUACAGAUAUGAGUUAACGAUUCCCCAGUGCGAAUGCACAAAAGAGGUUAACUUAUUGGCUUUCAGUCUUGUUUUUUUUAGUUAUGUGUCGUUUUAUUUUUUAUGCCCCCCUUCGAAGAAGAGGGGGUAUAUUGCUUUGCUCAUGUCGGUCGGUCGGUCGGUCGGUCCGUCCACCAGGUGGUUGUCAGAUGAUAACUCAAGAACGCUUGAGCCUAGGAUCAUGAAACUUCAUAGGUACAUUGAUCAUGACUCGCAGAUGACCCCUAUUGAUUAUGAGGUCACUAGGUCAAAGGUCAAGGUCACGGUGACCCGAAAUAGUAAAAUGGUUUCCAGAUGAUAACUCAAGAACGCUUAUGCCUAGGAUCAUGAAACUUGAUAGGUAGAUUGAUCAUGACUCGCAGAUGAUCCCUAUUGAUUUUCAGGUCACAAGGUCAAGGUCACGGUGACCCGAAAUAGAAAAAAUGGUUUCUGGAUGACAACUCAAGAACGCUUAGGCCUAGGAUCAUGAAACUUGAUAGGUAGAUUGAUCAUGACUUGCAGAUGAAAUAUUGAUUUUCAGGUCACUAGGUCAAAGGUCAAGGUCACGGUGACCCGAAAUAGUAAAAUGGUUUCCGGAUAAUAACUCAAGAAUGCUUAGGCCUAGGAUCAUGAAACUUCAUAGGUACAUUGAUCAUGACUCGCAGAUGACCCCUAUUGAUUUUCAGGUCACUAGGUCAAAGGUCAAGGUCACGGUGACCCGAAAUAGUAAAAUGGUUUCAGGAUGAUAACUCAAGAACGCUUAUGGCUAGGAUCAUGAAACUUCAUAGGUACAUUAAUCAUGACUGGCAGAUAACCCCUAUUAAUUUUGAGGUCACUAGGUCAAAGGUCAAGGUCACGGUGACCCGAAAUAGUAAAAUGGUUUCCCGAUGAUAACUCAAGAACGCUUAUGGCUAGGAUCAUGAAACUUCAUAGGUACAUUGAUCAUGACUCGAAGAUGACCCCUAUUGAUUUUCAGGUCACUAGGUCAAAGGUCAAGGUCACUGUGACAAAAAACAUAUUCACACAAUGGCUGUCACUACAACUGAGAGCCCGUAUGGGGGGCAUGCAUGUUUUACAAACAGCCCUUGUUUAUUUAUUUAUUUAUGCAUAUUAAAAUUGUGUUAUAGACUGACGCCCGUAAUAUAAAUUAUAUCGAUGUUAUAAUGAAAAAUAUUAUAAUUUGCAGUGAACGUUUUGCAUUCAGUAUUGUGUCAUAUUUAUUCUUCGUUUUAUGAUUAUGUACAUACACUUAUUAAAAUUGUGUGUUAUAAAAUGGCGCUUACAAUGUUUAUUAUAUCGAUUUAACAUUUAAAUGAUUAAAAUGGAAGUUAGAAUUUA